CAGUGAGGACUUCAAAAGAACAGGACAUUAUUGACCUUUUGAGUAUUACCUUGUCAACUACAUCGACCUCCCCGCAUACCCCACACACACCACCAAUUUCCAGUCAGAGCACGCAACAGGUACCUGCUCCUUCGAGCACUCAAGGAAAUCCCUAUGCUUCCGAAGCUUAUCCUGGAAAUCAAGGGCAGGUACCUUACAACAACUAUGUUGCUCCAUGGGCCCAGCCUCAAUCACAGCCAUUACCACAAUCACAACCCCAAUUCCAGCCAGGGGUGCAGCCUCAAUAUCCUCAUUAUUCAUCUGCAUAUCCUCCUCC
rnacentral:lncRNA from 1 species